rnacentral:snRNA from 1 species
GUGCUUGCUUCGGCAGCACAUAUACCGAAAUUGGAAUGAUACAGAGAAGAUGCGCACGGCCCCUGCGCUAGGAUGACACACAAAUUCGUGAAGCUUCCAUAUUUUUU